GAUGAACGCUGGCGGCGUGCCUAAUACAUGCAAGUCGAGCGAAUGGAUUAAGAGCUUGCUCUUAUGAAGUUAGCGGCGGACGGGUGAGUAACACGUGGGUAACCUGCCCAUAAGACUGGGAUAACUCCGGGAAACCGGGGCUAAUACCGGAUAACAUUUUGAACCGCAUGGUUCGAAAUUGAAAGGCGGCUUCGGCUGUCACUUAUGGAUGGACCCGCGUCGCAUUAGCUAGGUGGUGAGGUAACGGCUCACCAAGGCAACGAUGCGUAGCCGCACUGGGAGGGUGAUCGGCCACACUGGGACUGAGACACGGCCCAGAUUCCUACGGGAGGCAGCAGUAGGGAAUCUUCCGCAAUGGACUAAAGUCUUACGGAGCAACGCCGCGUGAGUGAUGAAGGCUUUCGGGUCGUAAAACUCUGUUGUUAGGGAAGAACAAGUGCUAGUUGAAUAAGCUGGCACCUUGACGGUACCUAACCAGAAAGCCACGGCUAACUACGUGCCGGCCGCCGCGGUAA
rnacentral:rRNA from 1 species